rnacentral:rRNA from 1 species
CAAGGAAUUUUCGUCAAUGGGGGCAACCCUGAACGAGCAACGCCGCGUGGGCGAAGAAGUCCUUCGGGAUGUAAAGCCCUUUUCCCUGUGAAGAGCGAAAGACGGUAGCAGGGGAAUAAGCAUCGGCUAACUACGUGCCAGCAGCCGCGGUAAUACGUAGGAUGCAAGCGUUGUCCGGAAUUAUUGGGCGUAAAGAGCGCGCAGGCGGCCUUUCAAGUCAGAUGUGAAAUAACCAGGCUUAACCUGGUGGGGUCAUUUGAAACUGGGGGGCUAGAGUACAGCAGAGGAUAGCGGAAUUCCCGGUGUAGUGGUGAAAUGCGUAGAUAUCGGGAGGAACACCAGUGGCGAAGGCGGCUAUCUGGGCUGCAACUGACGCUGAGGCGCGAAGGCUAGGGGAGCAAAC